AUACUUACUUGGUGUCGGGCUCUCCGAUGAUCAACAAGAUCGGGGGCCCCGUGCCGAGGCCUCUCCAUUGCACUGCGGGUGGCUGAAGCACGCCCCUACCCCAAAAAGGGGUAGGAGGGGGCAUGCAAUUUUUGGUAGUGGGGCUUGGCGUACGCGCCAGCCCUGC